CAUCUUUCUUUUCGUGAAACAGCGACAGAAUUUCUUUCUUCAUCUUCAGAAGAAAGAACAACUGAUAUCGCCAUGAGAAACGUUAUUCAUCUUCUUCGUUCUUCUAGAUUAACCUAGCGCCUCACUGAAACAACACAAAGCAAAACGAAGAUACGGGUUUUUUCCCCUCUCGCCAAUCAUCCAUGACAAAGGUGGUAGCAGAUGAACAAAAAAAAACGACUAAACUUCGAAGAAAUUUCUCAAUGUCACAGGAACACAUUGUGUUACAUCAUUGGAAGUACUACUCUAUCCGGUACUCACUGUUCCAUAAUAAUGCACGAACACGAAGGAGCUGGACACUGAUGGUUUUCUAUCCAUUGUUUUUGUUAGUGGCAAGUAUAGAGAAAAAAAGAAGAAUACUCUCUUUGUGGGAUGACGAAAUGAGAAGAGAACGUGGAAUAAUAGAUUAUCCUCUGAAACCCAAGAUGCUGGCGCAUGAGCUAUAAUGUAUAAAUUUCCAAGUGAAUUCAUUGGAGCUAGAACAACUACAGGGAAAGAAAUAAAUCGAUGUGCCGACUGAAGUUGUAGGCUCCAGUGGGCUCAAGAGCUGGACUUAGCCUGUUCAUAUUGUGUAAGCAUUUUUUUUUGCUGUAGCAACGUUCUUAGUUACUGGCAUGAUAGAUAAGUAUGAACGGUAAAUAUAUGUUCUCUUAACCAUUCUCUUAAGCAUGUUCGAAUUUUGGACCUGCAUAUAUGGAGAAGGAUCCUAUAUUUUGGAUAGUUAUAGCUUAGGAUUGUAUGUAUACAAGAAGUGUGGCCAAGAUUUGGAUUUA